UUGACCUGGUAGUUCUAAGCAUGCGCCAAUAAAUGUCAAAAUUUUUGUCACAUUUUAUUCAAAAUACAUCUGGUCCUCUGCAAGCACGACAGAUAUUUCUAACAAUAAUGCAUAGACGCGGUGCUUCACACAGAACUCCUAAAUUCAAGCCAGAAGUGAAAGUGGUAGGCAACCGUCCAAGGCAGGUUGCAAGCAUGUCUCCCAGACAGGAGAAAGUGGAAGUUUUACCAGAACCAACCAAAUCUGUUGCUGAUAAAAAGCUUUACAAGACAAUAAAACUAGAGAAUGGCCUCACAGCCCUGCUUAUAUCGGACCCCAGUCGCCCAGCAGAGAUUGAGUCAAGCGAUGAGGAGUCCCUCAGUUCAGAGGACACAAGUGAUGACAGUGACAGCGGCAGGUCGGAGCAGUCCGGCGGCAGCGACCGUGUCCCGUUCAUGCGGAAACGGGACUUCGAUGAGGAGAAACUGGCGGCGUGCGCCCUCACCGUGGGCGUGGGCAGCUACAGCGACCCCCCCGACAUGCAGGGGCUGGCGCACUUCGUCGAGCACAUGGUGUUCAUGGGCAGCGAGAAGUACCCGAAGGAGAACGAGUUCGAUUCCUUUAUUAAGAAAAAAGGCGGCUCCGACAACGCGUCGACGGACUGCGAGGUGACAACGUUCUACUUCGAGAUCCCGGAGCGUCACCUCGCGCACGCCAUGGACAUGUUCAGCCAGUUCUUCGUCAGCCCGCUCAUGCUCAAGGAGGCCAUGCAGAGGGAACGGGAGGCUAUUGAAUCCGAGUUCGCGAUGGCGUUACCAUCGGAUUCCAACCGCAAGGACCAGUUGCUGUCGAGUUUCUUCCCCGAGGGUCAUCCGGCGCGGACCUUCACGUGGGGCAACCUCAAGAGUCUGCGGGACAACAUUAACGACGAUGAGAAGCUGCACCGAGCUGCGCACGAGUUUAUGAGAAGGCAUUACAGUGCGCAUAGGAUGACUGUUGCUGUGCAGGCGCGCAUGGACCUCGCGACGCUAGAGCAGUACGUGAUCAACACGUUCGGGCGCGUGCGCAACAACAAGCUCGCGGCCGACGACUUCAAGCCGUACGCGUACCGACCCGACAUCGUCACCGAUCACUUCAAGGGACUGUAUUAUGUCAAGCCGGUCGGAGAUACUACGGAGGUCCACAUCACGUGGUGCAUGAAGUCGUUAAUGAAAGAGUACGAGACGAAGCCGCACCAGUACAUAUCGUUCCUGCUCGGACACGAAGGAAAAGGCAGUCUGCUCUCAUACCUCAAGAAGAAGGUGUGGGCGCUGGGCAUCUACACGGGCAACUCGGAGAGCGGCAUCGACUACACCUCCAUGUACAGCCUCUUCUCCACGCAGAUCGUACUCACGCAGGACGGACUCCAACAUGUCGACGAGGUGAUCGAGGCUACAUACUCGUACAUAAACAUGUUGCGUCGACUCGGACCCUCGAAACACAUUUUCGAUGAAAUAAAGUCCGUGGAGGAUACGAACUUCCGCUUUGAGGAAGAGAUGCAGCCGUCGGACUACGUGGAGACGCUGUCCGAGAACAUGCAGUUCUACCCGCCGCAGCAUUACAUCACCGGCGAGAAACUGUACUUCAAGUAUGAUGAGAAGGCAAUAAUGGAGAUCCUGGAGUUCAUGACGCCGGACAUGGCGAACGUGAUCAUAAUGACGAACCGGCGCGACGCGUCCAUACGCUACGACCAGAAGGAGAAGUGGUUCGGCACGGACUACCAGCGGAGAGAGAUUCCAGAAUCGUGGAUGAAACGCUGGAUGAGCGUGGAACCGUAUCCAGACUUCAAGAUACCGGAUAAAAACAUAUACAUAACGACCAAUUUUGACCUCAUCCCCCCUGCGCAGCCAUACAUCGACACCGCGCGGGAGCUCGGCGUGGACCUGAAGACCAGCACCGCCAAGGACCUCUACAAGAAGGGGGUGAACGCCCAGCAUACCACCAAACAGCUGAAACGAGGAGAUCUUAUCGCUACUGUGAACAACUUCAGGAUAGACCAGCCGAACUUGCUCCGGAAGAACCGUCAGAUGGAGCUGUGGUACAAGCCGGACUUCAAGUUCAGAUUCCCGACCGCGUUACUGUAUUUUUACUUCAUCACGCCGUUAGGAUUCAAGUCUCCGAGGGAGGCGUGCUUACUCGAUCUCUGGACGGACGUGUUACAACAAGAACUUAAGGAAGACAGUUACCCGGCGCAAAUGGCAGAACUGACGCAAGCUAUAUGGGUCUCCGACAAAGGGAUCAUGGUCAAAAUCAACGGGUACAAUCAGAAUUUACACUUGUUGAUGGAGCUGGUGUCGCGGCGCAUGGUGUCGUCGGUGGAGGGUCUGUCGGGCGCGAUGUUCGGCGCGGUGCGCGAGGUGCGCGCGCGCGUGUACUACAACACCGUCAUCAAGCCGCACAAACUCUCCAAAGAUCUUCGAAUGCAACUGUUGUUAGAGCCGUACAUAUCGCCGCGGAUAAAGGGCACCAUCUUACCGAACAUCACGCUCGACGAACUGAAGGACUUCGGCAGGAAAUUACUCAAGAAGUUAUAUGUACAGGUGCUAGUGCAGGGAAACCUCGCGUGGCACGAAGCUAUCGACAUCGCCGAUAAUGUGUACGACACUAUCAUGUGGGAGCCACUGUCGCCCGAAGAGAUGCCUGAUGUGAAAGUCCACCAACUCCCCCUGGGCGAGAAGAAGCUGCGCGUGAUGAGCCUCAACCAGCACUCCGCCAACAGCAUGAUCACCAACUACUACCAAGCGGAGGCGGCCAACGUCAACGACACCGCUACGCUCGAAGUCAUCAUGAUGCAAAUGGAGGAGCCGGUGUUUGACUUCCUCCGCACGAAGGAGCAGCUCGGGUACAGCGUGUUCAGCAUGAUGCGAUACACCUUCGGCGUACUCGGCUUCAGCGUCAGCGUCAACACGCAGGCCAACAAGUUCAGCGUGUGGCACGUGGACGGUCGCGUGGAGGCGUUCCUGAAGCAGUUCGUGCGCUCGAUGCGGCGCCUGUCGGAGAAGGAGCUGCGCGCCGCCAAGACCGCGCUCGUGCACGUCAAGCACACCGCCGACAUCGAGCUCAAGGAGGAGGCAGAGAGGCAUUGGAAGGAAAUCGUGAAUCAAGAAUACAACUUCCAAAGAUUGUUCAUUGAGGCGGACGCCAUCGAAGCGGUAACCAUGGCGGAUGUGAGAAAAUGGGUAGACAACCACUUCUUGAGCGGCAACAAAUCUAGUUUCAGAAAACUGUCCAUACAGGUAAUGGGUCACCAGUUAAACGACACCGAAUUGGAAUCCCAACCGACCGGACUGACAAACCCGCACGAAAACUACGCCCUUGUAGUAUUCGACGCGAACCAACUCCCCGACGAACCCCACGAGAACAAGGAGGAGUUUAUCAAAGAUAUAGAAAGCUUUAAGAACAACCUGCCUUUUGUGCCUGUGAGAAAAGUGCAAUUAGCCCUAUGUUGAAAUAAUUAAAAAGUAAACUGUCAACCGUUGAUGCUGGCUGGAUAUUGCUGUAUUUUUGUUAGUUUCCGUCAGGGUUAAUAGAUGGCGCUGUUUUAUAUGGUGCGUAAAUUCUUAUGAAGUUGAUGUGAAGUAUUAAACUCGACGGUUGACUGUUAAAAAUAUUGCCAAAUAUUUCUUGCACACAAUAUUUAAAUGUGGGUAUAUAGAUUUAUUAUAAUUUCAAUAAACAGGGAGCAUUUGACAUUUAUGUUCUAUGACAAGAUAGAAUGGACAUGAAUUUAUUUUAAUUUAAAUCAAUUAUAAAUGGAACGAAUGAACUACUUUUAAAUAUUGUGUGAAAUUAAAGUGUCCGUACAUUGUACGGUGAGGUGUGAUGUAUAAAUCUUAUUUUAUUUGUUAAUUGACAAUGUAAAUAAUUAUGUUUGCAGAAUAUAGACUUGUUUUAA
rnacentral:misc_RNA from 1 species